UGCUAAUACCCAUAAUAGGAAAAGCAGGGGAUCCUCGGACCUUGGCUAUAGAUGAGCCUAAGUGGAUUAGUAGUUGGUGGGGUAAAGGCCUCCGGACGAUCUGUAGCGGGUUGAGAGGAUGAUCCGCCACACUGGGACUGAGACACGGCCCAGAUCCUACGGGAGGCAGCAGUGGGGAAUAUUUGACAAGGGGGAACCCUGAUCCCGCCCUCCGGUGUGGAAGAAGGCCUUAUGGUUGUAACAUUUUACGAGGAGGAGGCUACUUAGUUAAACCUAGGGAUAGUGGACGUUACUCGCAGAAUAAGCACCGGCUAACUCGUGCCAGCAGCCGCGGUAAUACGAGGGUGCAGCGUUAAUGGAUUUACUGGGCGUAAAGCGGCGAGGCGGUUUAAGUGGAUGUGAAAUCCCCGGCUAACUGGGAAUUGCAUUGAACUGGGCUAGAGUAUGGAGAGGGGUAGAAUUCCAGGUGUAGCGGUGAAAUGCGUAGAGAUUGGAGGAAUACCGUGGCGAAGGCGCCCUCUGGCCUAAUACUGACGCUAGGUACGAAAGCAUGGGGAGCAAACAGGAUUAGAUACCCUGGUAGUCCAGCCGUAAACUGUAACUGCGUGGGGCCCGAGGCCUUUAGUGCCCAAGCUUAAA
rnacentral:rRNA from 1 species